rnacentral:rRNA from 1 species
AUUGAACGCUGGCGGCAGGCCUAACACAUGCAAGUCGAGCGGAUGAAGGGAGCUUGCUCCUGGAUUCAGCGGCGGACGGGUGAGUAAUGCCUAGGAAUCUGCCUGGUAGUGGGGGAUAACGUCCGGAAACGGGCGCUAAUACCGCAUACGUCCUGAGGGAGAAAGUGGGGGAUCUUCGGACCUCACGCUAUCAGAUGAGCCUAGGUCGGAUUAGCUAGUUGGUGGGGUAAAGGCCUACCAAGGCGACGAUCCGUAACUGGUCCGAGAGGAUGAUCAGUCACACUGGAACUAAGACACGGUCCAGACUCCUACGGGAGGCAGCAGUGGGGAAUAUUGGACAAUGGGCGAAAGCCUGAUCCAGCCAUGCCGCGUGUGUGAAGAAGGUCUUCGGAUUGUAAAGCACUUUAAGUUGGGAGGAAGGGCAGUAAGUUAAUACCUUGCUGUUUUGACGUUACCAACAGAAUAAGCACCGGCUAACUUCGUG